rnacentral:rRNA from 1 species
GUGAGGAAUAUUGGUCAAUGGGCGAGAGCCUGAACCAGCCAAGUCGCGUGAAGGAAGAAGGAUCUAUGGUUCGUAAACUUCUUUUGCAGGGGAAUAAAGUGCGGGACGUGUCCUGUUUUGUAUGUACCCUGAGAAUAAGGAUCGGCUAACUCCGUGCCAGCAGCCGCGGUAAUACGGAGGAUCCGAGCGUUAUCCGGAUUUAUUGGUUUUAAAGGGUGCGUAGGUGGUUUGAUAAGUCAGCGGUGAAAGUUUGCAGCUUAACUGUAAAAAUGCCGUUGAAACUGUAGGACUUGAGUGUAAAUGAGGUAGGCGGAAUGCGUGGUGUAGCGGUGAAAUGCAUAGAUAUCACGCAGAACUCCGAUUGCGAAGGCAGCUUACUAAGCUACAACUGACACUGAAGCACGAAAGCGUGGGGAUCAAACAGGAUUAGAAACCCCGGUAGUCC